AGUCAUGUCGGGUAGCCAAGGAUGGUUUGCCUAGGUAUUCCAAUUCAUAGGACUUUGUCUCUUUUGAAGAUAUAUAGCCCUUUGAUUGUUUGUUUUGGCGACAUCUUUGGCUGGUUGACUGUCUCU
rnacentral:pre_miRNA from 1 species